AGUUAAGAGGAAAAGAGUUUUUGAUACUUUAAAAGUUCUAGGCACAGUCCUUCAGCAGCUGACUGAGGAAAUUCCUGAUGAGCUGAGACGUGUGAUGGAAACUGAUGCAGCUAUGACGGACGACUUAAUUGCUUAUAAUAUUAUUCCACUUGAUGCUCCUAGCCCAACAAAUCGUAUUGGGUUUUUCCCCGAGGUUCAAGCAGCAAUCUCAGUGUUAAAGUAUAGGGGACUGCCAAAAUUGCCCGAGGAUUUUCCCAUCCCUGCUACAAGAAAAGCUGAUGUUCUUGAUUUUUUGCACUA